rnacentral:tRNA from 1 species
GGAGGAUUAGCUCAGCUGGGAGAGCAUCUGCCUUACAAGCAGAGGGUCGGCGGUUCGAUCCCGUCAUCUUCCACCA